GACGAACGCUGGCGGCGUGCCUAAUACAUGCAAGUAGAACGCUGAAGGAAGGAGCUUGCUCUUUCUGGAUGAGUUGCGAACGGGUGAGUAACGCGUAGGUAACCUGCCUGGUAGCGGGGGAUAACUAUUGGAAACGAUAGCUAAUACCGCAUAAAAUUGAUUAUUGCAUGAUAGUCAAUUAAAAGGUGCAACUGCACCACUACCAGAUGGACCUGCGUUGUAUUAGCUAGUUGGUGGGGUAACGGCUCACCAAGGCGACGAUACAUAGCCGACCUGAGAGGGUGAUCGGCCACACUGGGACUGAGACACGGCCCAGACUCCUACGGGAGGCAGCAGUAGGGAAUCUUCGGCAAUGGACGGAAGUCUGACCGAGCAACGCCGCGUGAGUGAAGAAGGUUUUCGGAUCGUAAAGCUCUGUUGUAAGAGAAGAACGAGUGUGAGAGUGGAAAGUUCACACUGUGACGGCAUCUUACCAGAAAGGGACGGCUAACUACGUG
rnacentral:rRNA from 1 species